GACGAACCGUGCGAACGUUAUUCGGAAUCAUUGGGCUUAAAGCGCGUGUAGGCGGAUGGGAACGUCGGUCGCUGAAAUACCCCGGCUUAACCGGGGAACUGGCAUCGAAACGACCCGUCUCGAGGGGCAUAGGGGGAGCUGGAACUUCCGGUGGAGCGGUGAAAUGCGUUGAGAUCGGAAGGAACGCCCGUGGCGAAAGCGAGCUCCUGGAUGUCUUCUGACGCUGAGACGCGAAAGCUAGGGUAGCGAACGGGAUUAGAUACCCUAGUAGU
rnacentral:rRNA from 1 species